AGAACGAACGCUGGCGGCAUGCCUAACACAUGCAAGUCGAACGAGACCUUCGGGUCUAGUGGCGCACGGGUGCGUAACGCGUGGGAACCUGCCUUUAGGUUCGGAAUAACUCCCCGAAAGGGGUGCUAAUACCGGAUAAUGUCUUCGGACCAAAGAUUUAUCGCCUUUAGAGGGGCCCGCGUAGGAUUAGCUAGUUGGUGGGGUAAAGGCCUACCAAGGCGACGAUCCUUAGCUGGUCUUAGAGGAUGAUCAGCCACACUGGGACUGAGACACGGCCCAGACUCCUACGGGAGGCAGCAGUGGGGAAUAUUGGACAAUGGGCGAAAGCCUGAUCCAGCAAUGCCGCGUGAGUGAUGAAGGCCCUAGGGUUGUAAAGCUCUUUUACCCGGGAUGAUAAUGACAGUACCGGGAGAAUAAGCUCCGGCUAACUCCGUGCCAGCAGCCGC
rnacentral:rRNA from 1 species